AGAGCAUCUCCUGGCUGGCUGCAGCCAAGGUGCUUAGCAGAGCAUGGAGAGAAGGUGAAAGAAAAGCAAUGAAACAUAAAGCAUCGGGGAAGAAUUGAGACAGGAUGACAUGACAGCAGAUACUUCAGUGGGGUGAGGAAGCUAAGUCACACCUAACAGAAUAACUGGACGUCAAAGUUAACUGGACUUUCAAACCUUGUAAAAUGGUAACUCAUCUUUUAAACACAUACUGUCGUGAUUUUGCUGAAAGCCUGAGAAGUAAAUGAGAUGAAGACUUGAGAUGAAAACCACCAAUGACUUAGGCAAGCCAGUGAAGAAAAAAUUACCUUUCUGCAACAAUAUGACUAGAUUCAAAUCGUUUCUGCCUGGCAGGAAGUAGAAAAGCAUUGUCUUUUUUUGCAGUUUUGGAUGAUCUCUGGCAUUUCUUUUUAUUGCUUGCCUUCAUUGUUUCUAUAGUUUUUUUUUUAAUAUUCUGGCACAGAUAGGUGGCAGUAGAAACACACAUUUAAUGACAUAGCCUGGGGAGCCCAUAACUAAUAUUUGAGGAGCAAAGUUGUGUAUUUAGGCAUCAUGGAAUGAUUUUUGAUAAACCAGAGUCCACCAGCAAAUGUCACACCACACUGCAGAUGCCAAAUGCUGUUAAUUGUGUUGGCUGGCAUUAAAGAUUCUUGCAAAUCUCAGAUAUUGACACAGGUCUGGAAUCAUUUAAACAGACUUCCUACCUCCUCUGUCUUAGCUGUUUCUUCCUUGGACAAGGUAGAAAUUAAAUGUGAAGCUUUGGAUUUCAAAUCCAGAUCCAAUAUUUUUUUUGUUUUUGUAUUCAGUAGCAAGGCCUGAGCUUUUUGCUCAGGAACAUAAAUAACAGAAGUAUGUAGUAUUUUCAUUCUGAAACUCUGAACAAAUUUAAACUUGGUGGUGUGGAGUUGUUCAUCAUAGCUAUAAAUGAGCUUAUUAAAAAAAAAUCAAGAUAGAAGUGUGUCUUUUUGUUAAUUGUUGUGAAAACAGAAAUUUAUAACAUUUCCCUAUUUUAGAACCUUAUUUAUCCUUCUCAAAUAAAAUAGAUUGUGAAGAAGUUUGUAAGAAGACACAUAUCUGAUUAAAAAUGUCAGCAUGAUGUCUGAAUUCAGAAUUCAAUGUCUACACACAAGCAAAUGCAUACUACACAGGUGAGUUCAGAAGCAGAACAACAGUAUUUUUUAUUUUAUUCUGCUUUUUUUUUUAGUACUUUCUUGAAAGCAAUGAAAUAUUUGUAUAGAAUAGAACAGUUACUCAAACAGUGGCUAGUUUUCUAAAAUGAAGUUCUGUCAAGAAAAAAAAAAAAGAGGAUAUGGCAGUAAAAAAAAAAAAGUAACAAAAGCAAAUGUAAAACCAUCUGCCAGCCUAGUUUGCCAAAGUGCCAGAUGCUGCCUCUAGUAGACUCUGUUCCAGUGCUUUGGCAUCUGGAUGGUCCUUUGUAAUGAGGCAAAACUUUGACAGUUGCUGAAUUUUGUGGAUAUAUGUAUGCUUGGUUUAACAAUGAUUAUAUUUUCAGAAAUCAAGCUUCAGCAGAAGCCAUCUCAUGCAAAGUACACAGGCCCAAACCUUAAAAAAAAAUAAAAAUACCAAGAGAAAAUAAAAGUACUAAUAUAUUAUUUAUAAUUCACUAAAGAAGAGAUUUAUGUAAUUUUUUGUGUCUUUGUAAUAAAUGUCUAUGAAAGUUAUAUGUAAACUGUUCUUUAAAGAAUUGUGUUAAAUAAAAUACAGGCAGGUGGAGAACAGAAGUAAAGAAUAUUUGUUAUUCUAUUUAUGUGAUUUAUAGGACAAAUCAUAAGAAAAAAUAUUAGGAAAAAAUAUUCUGCGUGGGCUGAAUAAAAAUAGUCAUAGAAAAAUAAAUCAUAAAAAAACAUAAAUAGUUUUGCACAGACUAAUUUUAAGAGUUAAUCAAGAAAUAAUAUGAUAAGCAUACUUUUUUACUCUAAUAAAGAGUGAAAAGACUGUUCCAGGAGUUCCUUGCAGAUCACAAUUAUUUUUGUGAGUACAUGUUCUUAGAGGAUAUUCGUACCAUGAUUAACGAUAUUAUGACACCAUUUUGUAUAUAUAUUUGUAUAUAUAAAUACCUUUUGUACAUAAAGAUAAAGAAUAAAAAAAUAAUGCUGAGAUGUAAUAUGUUGUAAUAUCUUCCAAAUUUUUGAAGCUCAGUUUUCUGCAAGCUCAUGUGGAGCUCCAAAUUGUUGACUAUAUACCUUAGAAUAACUUUAAGGAAAAGAUUUUAAGGGAGAAUUGUGAAAAUUUGUUUCUUGGUCAUCAAUUUGAUAAGCUUAUAUCAAAGGCAUUAGCUACUUGAAAUCUAGAUUUGUGUGUUUAUCAUAAAUGUGAUUUCACCAAUUCGUCUUAUCAAUAAAUGUGCUUCUGCUGAAAAUCUGAGCUGAAAAACAAAUAAUAGAAAAGUUCUCCAGUACUCUUUGAAAUUUACACUGUCACUUUAAAAUUUUCUAGAAUUGGCCAUAGUCGACCAAAGCCAUCUCAGUGGAAAGAUGUAGAACAAUAUUCUUUUGUGUAGUGUUACCUUUUUUUUAACAGCUGAAAUUUCCAAAAUAUACCAUACUUUGUGAAAGCCAGGCAUGCAGGUGCUCAUGAAACCUGAGAAGAGAGUUAGAAAUGUCCCUACUGCCAAAAGGAUGAAGAAUCAAAGACUACAUUGUAGCUGAAAACACUUCCAAAUGCUUUCUGAAAGUAACGCUGCAAACUCUGAAAGCUCUUUCCAUUUUCAUUUUGCAAGACUUUCUAUGCCAAAUAAAAAGAAGUCGUAUUAUUUCCUCUUCAUGGAGAAUGACGUAAGAUGCACAGUCAAUGUUGUGCAAUAAAAAAAAAAGCUAGGAGCAAUGUAUGGGAGCAGAAGCACCUGUUAUUAAAACUGGGUGUGAGUCUGUCUGUGAACGUGUGUGAGAUGUUUUUAUCUUUCUUCAGUUUUGUUGUUCAUCAGGUCUCAGUUAUAAACAAGAGGCACAGAAUGCGUUUCCUUACCAAAAACAAACAAACAAAUAAAACAAACAAAAAAAAAACACUUAAAAAAAGUUCUCUCUUUCUUAUUUGUCUUCUUUUUCAUCCUGCUUAUCAA